rnacentral:lncRNA from 1 species
UGGGGCUGCAGCCUUCUGAGGGCUUGAUGUGUUCCGGAGCAGGAUAGCCGGACCCCGAGAAGGAGCGUCCCAGAGGGAAGAAGCGGAAGCCGCCAGUCUUCUUUGAGAAUCCAGGCAGUUUACAGCAAUGAAAACACUGCAACAAGGUGGAGUGACAAACAGUAUUUAGAGUCUGAUAAAAGGUUUCCCCAUCUCACCUCUACUUCCACGUCCACGCCCUCCAGGCCCCAUCCUAUCUGGACUCUUGGUGGAAACGCUUCUGGUCUCCCAGGCUCCCAGGCAAGCCGAGCUCGAGAGGGGCAGUGCAUCAGCGGCAGUCAGAAGCGGCCACGCUCUCGGGCUGCACUCUAAGACUGGGGCUCAGCAUCCCCCUCAGCUCCCGCUUGCGCCUCUCUGCUACACUGGUGGCCUCUCCCUGGGAGGGGGUCCUGGAGGCAGGUCCUGCUUCUGAUUCCUCUCUGUCCCCCAGAUCCCAGUGCAGACCUGGCACAUAGGAGACCUCAGCUGGGCUGGAGCUACCAAUCACAUCCACAGAAUGAACACUGAGUAAAAAACUGGUAAAGCGCCUUGCUCCAUGUGUCAAGAUUAGCCUCUUCACACUUUGUUCCCGGUGCCUCUUCCAAAAGCUCUGUGCA